rnacentral:lncRNA from 1 species
CGCUGACAAUGACACCUACAGUGGUGGCUAGGUUGCACUCCCACCGGCCAACGUAGUAUCAGUGGUGAACCCACCUUUAGUAAUUCCUCCAUAGCAGCCUGCAGUAGCACUGCAGGCGCAACCUCCACUCCCCUCUGAAAGCCCUGAAUGGGGGAGACAGACUCAUUAUAGCCGACCCUGAAGUUUCAAACCUAGAAGAUGACAAUCGCCAAGUCCCCAUUCUAGGUAGGACUCAA